rnacentral:ncRNA from 2 species
UUGGUGGCGCCGAUGAGGGACUGUAUAAUUGCGGGGAUUUGGCCCGCAAGUUUCUACCGGGUAACCUUGAAUUACCCUGCUACAGCCCGAAAGUGUACCUAG